GAUGAAGAACGCAGCGAAAUGCGAUACUUGGUGUGAAUUGCAGAAUCCCGUGAACCAUCGAGUCUUUGAACGCAAGUUGCGCCUCAAGCCAUUAGGUUGAGGGCACGUCUGCCUGGGCGUCACGCAUCGCGUCGCCCCCCACAAUUCUCCGUAAAGGGAACGUGUGUUUUGGGGGCGGAUAUUGGUCUCCCGUGCUCAUGGCGUGGUUGGCCGAAAUAGGAGUCCUUUCGAUGGACGCACGAACUAGUGGUGGUCGUAAAAACCCUCGUCUUUUGUUUCGUGCUGUUGCUCGCAAGGUAAACUCUUUAAAAACCCCAAUGUGUCGUCUCUUGACGACGCUUCGACCGCGACCCCAGGUCAGGCGGGACUACCCGCUGAGUUUAAGCAUAUCAAUAAGCGGAGGA
rnacentral:misc_RNA from 1 species